GGGCCACUUCUAUAACACACUGGAGCAAUUUGACUGGGGGUACUUCCGGGCCCUGGCUGAGGAGUCCCAGCUCUAUGAGCAAAGCCUCAGCCUCUUUCCGCAGCAGUUCCAGCAGACAGGUGUUUACGUCUUUCGUCUGAGCAGCAACCGACAUCGGAAGAUGGUUUGUCUAUGAUAAUUUGCCUCAUUUAAGACAUUAUUCCAUCAUUUCCCCUCUCUUUAAAAAUUACUGCCUCAUAACCACCUCAGACAGAUCUACAGGGGGGGAGCUGCCCUGAUAUCCCUGUCGGUUUCGGGGUCCCACAAUGCUAACAGAUGGUCCCGGGGACACCAAGGUUCAUUCCACAGCAGCUGGGCAUGUGUGGUGUAAGCAGGGGACGGUUGGGAGGAUGGGAACACAAGUGUGUAUUCAGGGACAUCAAUGGCAUUGCUCGGCCUGGGACCUCUGGCUGUCUCUCCCAACCCUCCACUUGUCUCCCCCUCCACAUCUCCCAAGCCCACCUACGCAUGGUUUUAUCCAUGUGACCUGCACAUUGUACCACCACUGAUCCAGGUGUGCUGUUUGUGCCAUACACAGCAUUUAGUAUCUCCCUGUCAGCACAACGUCCAAGAGAUUGUACUGACUUAGUCCCAGAACAUGCACACAGCUCCCUCAUACAGACAGUCAACUGAUGUGAGUCAUCUGAUGUAAAUAAGUUUCCCAGGAAAACUCUGAUUCUGCCUCCCAGCCCCCAGGUUUACACAAUCAUCCAACUGUUUGGUCAGUGUUGGCAGGCAUGGGUCCCACUCUGUCUCCGGGCCAGUUUCCGGUAGACAGCGGGACAAAGACUGAACAGACUUCUUUCCACCCAGUAUCUCCGUGCCCUCCCGCCAGGGGGCCAGUGCUUUGGGGAAGGGCCCUUUGCCUCCACAGCUCCAAGGUAUCUCAUCCAGACUGGCAUCGCCAGGAUCCCCCGGCCCCUGAAGGGGUCUGGCUGGCCAGGACUCCUAGGGGAGAUGGUGCUGCUCCUGGGGCUUUGCCUGCUUCUAAUGAUUCAGUGUCACAGCCUGAGCUGGGCUCGGAAGACUGCUCCUCACCCUACCUUCAGGAGACAUCAGCAAGAAUACAACCUCGACGGCUACACCUCCCCAAGAACUGGAAUAAUGUCAAUGAGGAGAGGCCGAUCUCACCAAGACUCUGAUGCCCCCAGGGUUGAGGGGGGCCCUGAUGGGAGCUGGGAGGCCAAGGAGCAGGUGGACCUGGAAUGGUUUAACACAGAGGCCUUCUUUGGAAUCCUGCUCAGGCAGUCUCUGUCAGUGACAGCCAAACUCAGCCAGACCAAGGAAGAGCUCAAACUCCUCUACCUUAAACUUCUGCGCGAAGCCCAUUCUCUCCAGCAGCUGUGGGGAGCAAGGCGCUGCCUCCCAGCCUCCACUAGUCGGCUUCUGGGGAGCAUGCAGAGGGAGCAGCAGCAGGCUACUGAGGCAGCUGCCAGGGCAGCAGAGGAGGAGGCCAGGCGGAGGGGGCACCUGGCAGGCGAGUAUGCAGCCAGCCUUCGUCACCAACUGAAGCUCCUUCGCCAAGACCUCCACGAGAGGCAGGAGCAGUGGGCCUCUUUCUGCUCAGCACUGAUGGAGGCUCAGCAGCUGCUGAAAGCAUGGACAGGCUCCAGGCCAGAGAAGUCCUCUCCAGCUGGGCAGAACUCAGAAAGGGCGGUUCCCCAGCUGGACACCGUGCUGGGCCACCUGUCCCAGGUCAUGCUGCGGGAGGGCCACCGCCUGAAAGCCUGGGGCAUUCUGAGCACUGGCACUGGGGCAGAGCUGCUGCGGCCAGGAAUGAUGCGCUAUCCCGGGACAGAGCUGUGGGUCCCAGCCCUGUAUGGAAUGGAGAUCCCAGAUCCUGAGGGCUCGGGGCUCAUGGUGCCCAUCCUGGGCAUGGAGCAUGAUGAGAAUUUGGGUGAAGCCACACCCCUGGCAGGCUCAAUGGAAGAUGCCCACGGCAAAGGUCUUAUCCCAAUUUCAAUCGGGGCUCAAGCCAUAGACCCCUUGACUGGGGAGCCUGGUCCCGUCAUUGGAGCUCAAAGAGAUCCCUCUUCCAGAGUGGUGGUGCCCAUUGUCCAGGUGCUGGAGUCCUUACCUCGAGGAGUGAGAGACCCUGGUCUGCUGGACACCCUGGAGCAGGAGCUGAGGGCCCGGGAGCAGUACUGGCACCACCAGGAACAGGAGGAGAAGCUGCUACUGGAUCACCUGGGACACCUGAGCCAGGAGCUCCACUUCACUGCAGGCAAUGGCGUGGAGCAGCAGGUGGUUCAUCGUCUCUCUGAUGAGUUUCAGGGGGUAGUGAGAGAGAGACAGAACUUCCUGGCUAGGGCCCUGGGUCAGCUACAGUACCGACAGGAAUGGAGCCGCCUCCAGUUCCUGCACACCCAGAUGAUUGCCUCAGGAACCCCUGUGUGUUUGGAGAAUUACCCUGGACACAUAUUCUAUGGAACAGUCACAGCUUCUGUCAGGGACCUGACUGCUGCCUGUCCCAUGUUGAUCCCUUUUCUGAAGCAACUCGCCACAGCACUAGUCGGAGCUCAAGGGCUGGAGGAUCAGAGGCCAGGAACAGAUACAGAUAAAGCUAACAUCAUCUGGGCUUCACCAUUCUUCUCCAUCCUGAAGAAAACAGACAUCUGGUCCCAAGCCCACAAAGAAGACACUGAACUGCAAAAACAAGUGUAUCACAAACGAGACCCAAAGAGCUCUUUACAGUAUCUUCUAAAACCUCAAACAGUGCAGAAGGAAGAGCUGAUAACUGUGCAACCCAUUGGCCUUUCUGCCAGGGAGUUUGUGGUUUACCAGUACGGCCUCUCCAUCCUGCACCUCCUCAUCCCCCAGCUUCAUGCUCCAGAAAUCACCCUGAAGAUUGCUUCUCAUCUUCCUGCCAUGGAAGCCCAAGGCAGUGCCUUCCAAGAUGGCUUCUUCUGUCAGAGUGCUGAGAACAUAUUGUUCGUUGGGAGAGAGUGCCUGGCCUCUGUGGGAAGCUUUGUUCUGCUGCUGAUCCGCUGCCUGGCCCACAUCACUGCUGGGGAACCCCACCAGGACUCCAACCCUGCCUUUCUGGGGUCAUUUUACAAGGUAUUUAUAACAUAUACAGUGCAU
rnacentral:lncRNA from 1 species